UCUAAACAUAACAAGGUAAUACUUUCUAGGAAACCCAUGCCCUUUGGCGGCCUCUUUUCCUAUCAGAGGAACUUGUCUAAUAAUCGAAACUACCCGCUACUUUUCACUUAAAUUCAGUUUUUAUACCGUCGUCUUAAGAAUAUAUUAUCUUAUAUUAUUCCAACCCGAACCCCGAACAAGUCAGAUCAAGGUGAAGCAUAUAUUUUAGCAAAGAUGAGUUAUUUAUAAGCAUAACCCCUGGAUUAUUUUUCAAAAACUCUAUAAAUUAAGAUUUGACAGUACCUAGCAAUUAAAAAUUGCUAGAGAAGAAGUAAAAAAAGGUGU
rnacentral:rRNA from 1 species